UGUCGGAAUUAUCAUUCAUAAUAUAUUAUUUUAGUUGUAUUUUUCUGAUGAUGGUUAGAUUAGUUGAGCCACACUCAGAUCUGGUCACUCAUUUAUUAGAUAUACUAAAUUCUAACAUGUUAAUGGUUGGACCUAACCAGAACCUUUAAUGGAGGUGCCACAUACCUGCUGAAGAGGUGUCUGGGGCAAAAUUGAAUACUAAAAAUUAUUUGAUAAAAUAAUUAUUUAAGAAUCUAUCCGUGGGUACAUAAGGGUUGGCCGAGCCACACUUGGGCCCAUGUGCAGUCCAUGUAGAUUCUAGUACCCACUAAAGAAUUAGUAUAAUUCUUCGAGUUGAAGGUAGAGGCUAUCAAUUCGAAUAAAAUAGUGAGAGAAUUUUUAGACUAAAAUCUAUAUCUUUAGGCUUAAUCAAUUCAUAUACUAAUUAGGUUCUAAUUUUUCUUUUGUAGUUAUGGCUACCAUCUUGUCACUCCGAUCACUAUUAGAUAGUGAUAAAUUGAUGGGACCAAAUUUUGAUAGCUGGUAUCGAAAGCUCAAAAUAGUUCUGGAGCA
rnacentral:lncRNA from 1 species